UACGGAGGAUCCGAGCGUUAUCCGGAUUUAUUGGGUUUAAAGGGUGCGCAUGCGGGAGAUUAAGUCGGGGUGAAAUUUUGCAGCUCAACUGUAGAAGUGCCUUCGAAACUGGUUUCCUUGAGUGUAGAUGAAGUAGGCGGAAUUUGUGGUGUAGCGGUGAAAUGCAUAGAUAUCACGAGGAACUCCGAUUGCGCAGGCAGCUUACUAAACUACUACUGACGCUCAGGCACGAAGGCGUGGGGAUCAAACAGGAUUAGAUACCCU
rnacentral:rRNA from 1 species